AUUGAACGCUGGCGGCAUGCCUAACACAUGCAAGUCGAACGAGUGGCGGACGGGUGAGUAAUGUCUGGGAAACUGCCUGAUGGAUGGGGAUAACUACUGGAAACGGUAGCUAAUACCGCAUACCAUCGGAUGUGCCCAAAUGGUAUUAGCUCGUAGGUGAGGAAAAGGCUCACCUAGGCGACGAUCCCUAGCUGGUCUGAGAGGAUGACCAGCCACACGGGAACUACGACGCAGACCAGAGUCCUACGCAUGGAAGCAGAGGGGAAUAUUGCACAAUGGGGGCAAUCUUGCUGCAGCCAUGCCGCGUGUAUGAAGAAGGCAUUCGGGUUGUAAAGUACUUUCAGCCGGGAGACGUUACCCGCAGAAGAAGCACCGGCUAACUCCGUGCCAGCAGCCGCGGUAAUUC
rnacentral:rRNA from 1 species